rnacentral:rRNA from 1 species
AGGGAAUCUUCGGCAAUGGACGAAAGUCUGACCGAGCAACGCCGCGUGAGUGAAGAAGGUUUUCGGAUCGUAAAACUCUGUUGUUAGAGAAGAACAAGGAUGAGAGUAGAACGUUCAUCCCUUGACGGUAUCUAACCAGAAAGCCCCGGCUAACUACGUGCCAGCAGCCGCGGUAAUACGUAGGUGGCAAGCGUUGUCCGGAUUUAUUGGGCGUAAAGCGAGCGCAGGCGGUGUCUUAAGUCUGAUGUGAAAGCCCCCGGCUCAACCGGGGAGGGUCAUUGGAAACUGGGAGACUUGAGUGCAGAAGAGGAGAGUGGAAUUCCAUGUGUAGCGGUGAAAUGCGUAGAUAUAUGGAGGAACACCAGUGGCGAAGGCGGCCCCCUGGACAAAGACUGACGCUCAGGUGCGAAAGCGUGGGGAGCAAAC